UUUCCUGCCAGAAUCAUUAACUGGAAAUCGACUGGAAAUGUUUUAUUACCACAGAAACACUGGGACCGCUCAUGGAGACCUGCCUGGACUACUUCAUCCAGUCUGCAAACAUAUGUAGAACUGUUUUGAAUAGUCUCUUCAAGUGUGGAAAAGUACUGUUAGUAAAAUACUAGUGCAUGUUAUUUCCAGCUUGUUGAUGAUACGCAUUUCAAACUUAAUUUUAUGGCAAUAUCUCUAUCCUUCAUUCCAGCUCUUCUUGUUCUUCGUCAGCUUGUUCUUCGGCUUGUUCUUCUCUCCCCUUCUCUGCAUUUUAAGGCUGCUUUUCCUUUCCCUCCCAAUAUUUCUACAUAAAUUAUCCAGACAAUGACUGUCUUCUCCUACAGCCUUUAUUGAGUGUUCUUUCAUUUUUUCUACUAAGGAGAUAUAUUUAGUGCUCUGAACUUCUUAUGUUUCUGGAAAAAAACCAUAUCCGGCCCUUCCCUCAUUUGUGAUACCUAAAAGAUAAAACCUAAGAGGGACGUGGCUUCUGUCUGGUGGUUAACCUGAGCUCUUGUGUGAGUAACCAUGAGUUAAAUAGUGCCUGCGCUGCAGAAGUGCCUAACAAUGGAAUUCUUCAAUGUAUAGUCGCUGUGGAAAAACACACUGGUGUAACUGCAACAGAAUAUCGAUCUUUCAGAAUAUCAUUCUCUUCCUCUUAUAUACAUCAGACCACAUCUCGAGCUUUCAUUUCUUUCUAAUAUGAAUAAUUUAGUUUGCGAAAUAUCUCUAUGAAUUUUAUUUCUUCUCCAAGAACCGCUCUUGCCAUUUCACUGAAAUUGAAAAGCAGAUUUUUUGUUAUAUUAAACUAAUCCUCUGGACAGGAAAGAAUUCUACCUUAAAAGGCAGAAUUAUUAAAAGAUCUGUCAUAUAGGCCAUACAAAAUAUGUGUUUUAAAACUGAAGAAAACAUUGUCUUGAAAAUGGGACCAACGUAGCCGAAAAUUCUGCCAAAAUGACACUAACAGCUGAAAACUACCUGUUUUGAACUUGAAUUUGUAAAGUGUAGGAGUAURUAGUUUCUUUUAAAUUUGUCACUUUAAACAAAUAUAAUUAAAGGAUAAAAGGGAGGUUAAAAUAGCUCAUCUUUCACUACAGUAUUCAUAUGCUAAAUAGUUUUAAAGGUAAUUUUCUUGGUCUUGAUUUCCUCAAGUCUUGUACAUUACUAACGUAACUGAAGGAAGGUAGUAGUCUCAGAGUCAUUAAGAUGUUGUGCUUCAUUGCUUAUUAUUAUGGAAUACAUAUGGAUAGUUUUUCUGCAAUAUUUUCUAUUUUGUAUUUAGUAAAUAUAUAA